rnacentral:rRNA from 1 species
CUGACCUAUGCAGUCGAACGUGCUCCAAUCCAGCCUUCGGGCUGGAGAGGGGAAAGUGACGUCCGGGUGAGUAACACGUAGGUGACCUACCCCGAAGAGGGGGAUAACCACCGGAAACAGUGGCUAAUACCCCAUGUGGUGCGGCAUUCGUUUGCCGUACUAAAGGUUGAGCUUAGGCUCUUCCGCUUUGGGAGGGGCCUGCGGCCGAUUAGCUAGUUGGUGAGGUAAUGGCUCACCAAGGCGAUGAUCGGUAGCUGGUCUGAGAGGACGAUCAGCCACACUGGCACUGACACACGGGCCAGACUCCUACGGGAGGCAGCAAGGAGGAAUAUUGCGCAAUGGGCGAAAGCCUGACGCAGCAACGCCGCGUGGGUGAUGAAGGCCUUCGGGUCGUAAAACCCUUUUCUGGGGGAAGAGGAAGGACGGUACCUCAGGAAUAAGCCUCGGCUAACUACGUGCCAGCAGCCGCGGUAAAACGUAGGAGGCGAGCGUUAUCCGGAUUUACUGGGCGUAAAGGGCGUCUAGGCGGUGUCUUAAGUUGGGCGUGAAAGUCUCCGGCUCAACUGGAGGAGGUCGUCCAAUACUGGGACACUUGAGGACAGGAGAGGAAGGUGGAAUUCCCGGCGUAGCGGUAAAAUGCGUAGAUAUCGGGAGGAACCCCCGUGGCGAAGGCGGCCUUCUGGCCUGUUCCUGACGCUAAAGCGCGAAAGCGUGGGUAGCGAACGGGAUUAGAUACCCCGGUAGUCCACGCCCUAAACGAUGGAUACUGGGUGUUGGUGGUAUUGACCCCAUCAGUGCCGAAGCAAACGCGUUAAGUAUCCCGCCUGGGGACUACGACCGCAAGGUUAAAACUCAAAGGAAUUGACGGGAGCCCGCACAAGCGGCGGAGCGUGUGGUUUAAUUCGAAGCAACACGAAGAACCUUACCUGGGCUUGACAUGCCGGUGGUAGGAAAGCGAAAGCGGCCCGACCCUUCGGGGAGCCGGCACAGGUGCUGCAUGGCUGUCGUCAGCUCGUGCCGUGAGGUGUU